AUUGAACGCUGGCGGAAUGCUUUACACAUGCAAGUCGAACGGUAGAGGGGGCAACCCCUCGAGAGUGGCGAACGGGUGAGUAAUAUAUCGGAACGUGCCCAGUCGUGGGGGAUAACGUAGCGAAAGUUACGCUAAUACCGCAUACGAUCUAAGGAUGAAAGCGGGGGAUCGCAAGACCGCGCGCGAUUGGAGCGGCCGAUAUCAGAGUAGGUAGUUGGUGGGGUAAAGGCACACCAAGCCAACGAUCUGUAGCUGGUCUGAGAGGACGACCAGCCACACUGGAACUGAGACACGGUCCAGACUCCUACGGGAGGCAGCAGUGGGGAAUUUUGGACAAUGGACGCAAGUGUGAUCCAGCCAUUCCGCGUGCAGGAUGAAGGCCCUCGGGUUGUAAACUGCUUUUGUACGGAACGAAAAGGUCUCUCUUAAUACGGGGGACUCAUGACGGUACCGUAAGAAUAAGCACCGGCUAACUACGUGCCAGCAGCCGCCGUAA
rnacentral:rRNA from 1 species